UACGAAGGGGGCUAGCGUUGUUCGGAAUCACUGGGCGUAAAGGGUGCGUAGGUGGGCAAGUAAGUCAGUGGUGAAAUCUCCGGGCUUAACCCGGAAACUGCCAUUGAUACUAUUUGUCUUGAAUACUGUGGAGGUCAGCGGAAUAUGUCAUGUAGCGGUGAAAUGCUUAGAUAUGACAUAGAACACCAAUUGCGAAGGCAGCUGGCUACACAAAUAUUGACACUGAGGCACGAAAGCGUGGGGAUCAAACAGG
rnacentral:rRNA from 1 species